CGAAAAAGGCCUCACUCAUCAAACAAUGAAAGCUUAAAAGGAGAAAAGGGUUUUGGGAGUGGUGUACCACUCGAGUUUGUCAAAAAGAUUGGCAUAAAGGAUGUGCCAACUCAAGUGUGUAUAUCCAUGACUCAGUACACAAGGGACCAUAAGCAAGAAGCAUUAAGUUCGUUCAGUUCAAAUAAGGUUGUAGUUGGCUUCAAAGAUUGAGUUUCAGCAACUAAUGAGAUUCAGGAAGACUUUUCAAGGCUCGAAACAUACAAGGCUUUUUGAAAGAUGCAAUAGCUACUCGAGUGUGAGAUAGUGUUCUUUACAAGGCAUCUUAAAUCAUUGCUCCAAAUGCAAAUGAAUGCAACCUAUAUGCUCUAGACUCUCCUAAAAAUGCAAGUGAUGCAAUCUAUAUGUUUUUUUUAAUGCAAAAAGGUAUGUGUGCAAGACUCAAUGCAGAUUCAUCAAAGCAAA
rnacentral:lncRNA from 1 species